rnacentral:rRNA from 1 species
GACGAACGCUGGCGGCGCGCUUAACACAUGCAAGUCGAACGGAAAGGCCUGCUUUCCCUUGUGGAUUGCGGGUACUCGCGUGGCGAACGGGUGAGUAACACGUGAGUGAUCUGCCCCCAACUUGGGUAUAAGCCUGGGAAACUGGGUCUAAUUCCCGAUAGGACUGCAGGGUGGUGCCUGUGGUGGCAAACGAUUUUCUAGUGGUUGGGGAUGAGCUCGCGGCCUAUCAGCUUGUUGGUGGGGUAAUGGCCUACCAAGGCGGCGACGGGUAGCCGGCCUGGGAGGGUGGGCGGGCACAGUGGGACUGAGAUACGGCCCAGACGCCUACGGGAGGCAGCAGUGGGGAAGAAUGCACAAGGGGCGGAAGCCUGAGGCAGCGACGCCGCGGGGGGGAUGACGGCCUUCGGGUUGUAAACUCCUUGCGACCGCGAGGAAGCCACCUGGAUGGAAGGGUGGUGACGGUAGUGGUAGAAGAAGCACCGGCUAACUACGUG